rnacentral:rRNA from 1 species
AGAGUUUGAUCCUGGCUCAGGAUGAACGCUGGCGGCGUGCCUAAUACAUGCAAGUCGAACGCUUUGUCUUUAAUUGAUCUGACGAGCUUGCUCUGAUGUGAUUUUAUCUGACAAAGAGUGGCGAACGGGUGAGUAACACGUGGGUAACCUACCUCUUAGCAGGGGAUAACAUUUGGAAACAAGUGCUAAUACCGUAUAAUACCAACAACCGCAUGGUUGUUGGUUGAAAGAUGGUUCUGCUAUCACUAAGAGAUGGACCCGCGGUGCAUUAGCUAGUUGGUAAGGUAACGGCUUACCAAGGCGAUGAUGCAUAGCCGAGUUGAGAGACUGAUCGGCCACAAUGGGACUGAGACACGGCCCAUACUCCUACGGGAGGCAGCAGUAGGGAAUCUUCCACAAUGGGCGCAAGCCUGAUGGAGCACACGCCGCGUGUGUGAUGAAGGGUUUCGGCUCGUAAAACACUGUUAUAAGAGAAGAACGGCACUGAGAGUAACCGUUCAGUGUGUGACGGUAUCUUACCAGAAAGGAACGGCUAAAUACGUGCCAGCAGCCGCGGUAAUACGUAUGUUCCAAGCGUUAUCCGGAUUUAUUGGGCGUAAAGCGAGCGCAGACGGUUAUUUAAGUCUGAAGUGAAAGCCCUCAGCUCAACUGAGGAAUGGCUUUGGAAACUGGAUGACUUGAGUGCAGUAGAGGAAAGUGGAACUCCAUGUGUAGCGGUGAAAUGCGUAGAUACAUGGAAGAACACCAGUGGCGAAGGCGGCUUUCUGGACUGUAACUGACGUUGAGGCUCGAAAGUGUGGGUAGCAAACAGGAUUAGAUACCCUGGUAGUCCACACCGUAAACAAUGAGUGCUAGAUGUUCGAGGGUUUCCGCCCUUGAGUGUCGCAGCUAACGCAUUAAGCACUCCGCCUGGGGAGUA